rnacentral:lncRNA from 1 species
GGGCAAUAGCGUCCGAAACACCUGAGUCCGGCCAGCCGCCGCGGCCGCCGCCGCUGUUGCUACCGCACGGGUCUGUCAGGGAGCGGAACUUCCUCCUCCGGCGGCCACUGAGAAGCCCCGGCGUGUCCUGGGGGAGGGGAGGCGCGGCGGCCGCCCCCGCCGAGCUCCUCCUCCUCCUCCUCCUCCUCUUCCUCCUCCUCCUCCUCCUCUCCGCGGCCGGUUCAGUGAACCCCGGCGCCUGCUCCCCGAGCUAGGCCGCCGGCCGCAGUGGCCGAGCCCUCGCGCCUAAGAAGCCGAGCCGGGGCCCACGCUCCGAGAGCCCGGGGUAGGCGCCGGCUCAUUCCUCACUCAGCCCUGGAGCGGCGGGAGGGCCUGGGCGCGCGGGAGCAGCCGCGCCUCGGGCGGGCAGAGGUCGGCCGCGUCUCCUUCCUGCCCGGCCGCGGGGGCCUCCUCCGCGCCGCCUCCGGUGGCUCGCAGCUGCUGGCUCUGGCGGCGGCUGCCAGAGAGGCAGCGCGCCCACGCCGCUCGGGGCUGCGGCCCGGUCCCCGUACCCUGCCUCCCCAGGCCUGGUGAGCGCAGCAGCUGCUGGGCCGACACCCGUUGGGCUCACGCCGGAGAGGAACCGGAGGGCGGGGGCGAUGGGACCCGGGCCGGCCUACCGGCCCCGGCUCGCGAGUGGGCGUCCCCGGGCGGCGGAGUGUGAGGUGCGCGCGCACGCUCCCGGCUCCGCUGCCGCCGCCCCUCCCCCACCCAGCCUGGCUGCCCGGGCUCCGGCCUCGCGCCGCUGCCGGCUCCAGCAGCCCGAAAGCGUACUGCUGCCGCCGCCGUCUGAGCGCGAAAGAAGAGAAGGUCGCCGAUCUGCGCUGCCACGAGAACUUCACCGGUGCCCAGGGCCUUGCCACCGCCAGUUCGUGGGGUUGACCCAGCGUUUGGGCGAGAGGGAGCGAGGGGUUGGGUCGCGAAGGUUUCGCUGAAAUGUAGUGUCACCGGAGUUAAUGGCUUCUGAUGGCUUAGGUUAACGUUUACUGUGAUUCUUUGGAAGUCUUGUCUUCAGCGAUAGACCGUCAGGCCCGAGGAUUCAGCAACAGGGUCUCAAACUUCCACGCAGCAGCCCAUGCUCACGUUAUUGGGCCCCCGAGGCUCGAUUAAUAGAGCACCAACAUGUGCCAUGUUACGUUUUUAAAAUAAAGUGGUGACCCUGCUCCUUCAGCUGGGCUUCCUUUCAGAGGAAUCUAGGUACCCCCGAUAUGACAGGCGUCUCUUCAUUGUUCAGUUUCUGGGGCACGUUCUAUCAUCUUCACACACCUCAUCAACCCCCUUCCCAUAAAAGAGAAAAUGGAUGAAUAAGGAGGUGCUGAAACCCAAAAAGGCGACAAUAUUGUUUACGUUCAGGCUUAAAAACAAUCUGAAUCAAUUCUGUUCUCCGUAGUAUUGAGGAGAGCCAUGUUGUGAUUAAGUGCAAAAGAUUUCCUUGCAAGAUACAUAGACUCUUGCAUCCGAUUUACUUGCAGGUUGUUUUUGUUCUAAUAUUGUCAUUCCCUGUACACAUCCUUUACUGAUGACUGGGAAUUGGAGAGGAGGCCCUUAAAUGUCAGGAGAGUAAGUCAGCCUUAGCUUAAAAAUCAAGCAGAAAAGUCUCAUGUUCAUUGGCACACUUGUAACUACAUUCCAGUCUCCCAGUCUGCAUUAUUUCUAGAAGCUCUGCAUAUCUAACUGCCUACCACAUGACAAAAGUCAUUGUCAUUGAUCCUGCUUCACCAAAUAAAAAGUAAAAAUAUUGAGGGCCACCUCUCACCAGUUCACCCAGGGAGACUGGUAAGCAAGGAGUGCCCGGUCCCUAGUGAGAUUUAUGUUGAACAUUUGUGAAGAGUAGAUAUAAGAAACUUUUAGCCUUCCCAAUAUGUCUUUAUAAAAUGUGCCAAAUUUAAGAAUAAGUCUCUAAUGUUGAGACUCCGUAAGCCAAAGUGGGGGGGGCGGUGGGGAGGCGGGGAAGAACACACUGUUUUCCUACUGUUGAGAUCAUUAGUUUCCAUGAAAAGUUCAGGGGAAAUAAAUACUGAACUCUGAAUGAAAUAGCAAGUUAUAUAAAUCUUGAAAAAUAAAUAUUACCUAGGUUAACACUAGACUUAACCACAAGAGAUUUCAAUCAUGAAACCUGACAUAACCUAGUUGACAAGUAUAGCUUAAGCAAGUAAGACCUCAUUGCUGAUGGAGAAGACCCCUUUUCCUUUGCUUGUCUGUUUUGCAAAAUUCAUUUUUCCUUCAUGAGAGUAAAAACAAUUUAGGGGUUAUUGCAGAUGUCCAAAUGCAGCCAGCAAUUUUAAAGUCAUUGAUGAUACCGUCAGUUAUCACACUCCUACACCAGCAAUGAAAAUACUGUAUACAUAGUAUUACAUAUAUCCACUCUUCUAAAGGCAAGUCUGAGUUUUUAAAGAAUCAUGUUGUUUAAAAAAAAAAAAGUUGCAAAUGUAUCCAUUAAUUAUAAUUAUAAUUAAAUAAAAAUUAUAAAGGAACUGGUGCCUGAAAAAGUUAAGGUCAAAUUUCAAAUAGGUAGACUCGGUAGUAUCAAGAUGAACACACAGACCGGCCCAUCUGAAGGCAAUCGGCAGAAACAGUAUGCAGCCUGUUCUAUGUAUGUGUGUAUGUGUGUGUACACGUACAACAGGGAAGGAUUUCAUUCCAGAGAGUCUAAAAAGAAUAUUUCAUUUUCAAAGAGUAGUUACCCUUUGAUCAGAGAUUCCAAAGUGAUGAUUUCCCUUUUACAAAUCCAUAUAAAUUAAUAUUUUAGAAAUUAGAAUUAAUAAAUUACUAACAAAAUUUACUCCUGCAGAUUUACAGGACCACUCCUAAGAUCCACUCGUAUUGCAAUGUGGAAGUUACUUGUAUUUGUUCAACCAUGUGUUGACUUUUCUAUUAUUGAAACCAUUUCACACCUGUUAUACACACACGCAUGCACACACACACACACACACACACACAUACACCCCUAGCUCUGUUUUAAGUGAAACUGAAGUGCUACAGGAAAAAAAUAAAAGCUGGU